GAGGAAUUGACAGCUACAACUACUACUCAGGAAGUAUUACAAAUUAUUAAAUCAUUGCUUAAGGGAAAAAAACGAAACAGGCCCCGCUGGGUACACAGCCGGUUAUUACAAAGUGAUGCCAGCAGAGCUAAACACACAUAUGUGCACCCUCUUUAAUAUCUGUAUGAGAUCAUUGAAGAUACCACAAGAAAUGUUAAAUGCACACCAGGUUAUGCUAACAAAGCCUGGGAAACCACCAACAAAGUGUGC